GUUGCCUAGACGUGCUCGCGCGUCCACCGAAAAACAACAGUGAGGGCGCGGAGCCGACGAUGAAGCCUUAAGCACAGCUUGCAGAAAUAAUGGCCGCAAAAACUGAGCCUGUUUUUUUGAUGAUUCCUAACCAGAAGACAUCUCCAACACCUGUUGUUGAAGAAGAACCAUCUGUGGAAGAGAAUUGUGGCCACUGGCUGGGUUUUUGGUAUGGCUGGUGGGUGUGUUGGUGGGCUGGAUUCUUCAUUAUUUCUGUUCCUAUCAGUUUCAUCUUCAGUUUUCUGGGUCGAAAACUCUGCUGUCUAAUCUUAAAAGCAUCCAGAAAUCUAUGCUCAUGCCCAUUAAAAUUGAAGUUCAGUUCUUUAAUAAUUAAGGGUUUGGAGAAACAGGAAGCGAAUAAUGCAGAAGGCCUUUUAGGAUGGAUCAAAAAAUGGAAGAAUCUGAUGCCAGGGAUUAUCCUAGGAGCAGUUAUUGGAAUCUUCCAGAUAGUAAAUUGCAUGAUGUAUCAAUAUCAAGUUGGAGGAGCCAUUUUUGGAAUAAUAUUUGGAUUUCAGUUAAUGCUGCUUAAUGCUUAUAUUUUCAAAUUGUGAUCUAACACUAUGUUGGGAUCAAACCUUCACCAAAGAAGAACAUUGUGGAUAUUCUCUACUGAUACUUUAAGCCUUAAAAGGAGUUGUAAACAACUAUAACCUUAAGAAUCUCCAAAAGAUUUGCACUGUUACACUCGCCAGCUGCAAUGUAUGAGGUUUUUAGUCAAAUUAAACAGCAUUUCUUUUGCUGCUUGCAUAUUUUCAAAACUGAGGAUUGCACCAUAGUGUAUCAUUUUUAUAUUGAGGUCAAAUAAUUGGUUUUGAUUUACUGAGUGUGACUGACUGUUUCUGAUCUUGUAGAGAAAAAAAUGGCCAUCACAGGUGAAGCGCAUGUAAUCACCUUGAGACAUUUGUUUUUUUUUUAAUUUUUAUAUCUUGUGAUGUUAUAAUAAAAAGUUCUGCUAUGUUUUCAAAGGGUCUGUGCUCCAAAAAACAUUCCUGGAUCUUUAUGCAAUCUUUAAAAUCUUUUGUAGAGGUCAUGGAAAAUAAUUUCAGUAUAUGAAUAACAAGAAUUUUAACAUUUUAACUAUUCUGCAUGCUUUGCUUGAAAAGUGUUUUCAAUUAUGUAUGAAAAGCAGUUUGUAUGUUAUCUCAUAAAAUAAUAUCAUGCAUGCUGUUUAUUUUUCUCACUUAUGAACCAGGGAUUAUGUUAAACAGUGAACUUCAGAAUAAUGCCAGAAAUGUAUUAAAGUUUUUUUUUUAAUCUUGUUGAAGCAUUGCAUGCACAGAUGUCAUUGUGAUGACUUUGAUCAAUUUGGUAAACAUGUCUGCCUUAGUGGAUAAAGUUUACUUUUUUUUUGCUUAUACAUCAGGAUAUUCUCUAAUUAAAAUAGAAAAUGGCAGGAUGUAUGGACAGAGAAACAGCAAGAUGUUCUUUCAUAAGAAUAACAUUCUCUGUAUUGCUUACAAUUAACCUUCUCACUGCCCUUCAGUGUCAAUGAUGGCAUUCUGUGCUCCAAUUUUGUAAAAGCCUCUGUUCAGUUCCAUUGAAGGGACAUAAAAACACUUUAGUGAAAUGUAUUAAUGUACCUUAGUCUUUUUAAAUAUUGCUGCAGAGCUGUUUUCUAUGCAAGUAAUUCCAAAAGGUGCUUCUUGAUACCAUUGGGAUUAAAACUUCACAAUUUUUAUUGUCAUGUUAAAGCUGUGUUAUGUAAAUUAAGAAUUAAACAAGUUCAACUUUGCAA